rnacentral:rRNA from 1 species
UUCCAGACUCCUACGGGAGGCAGCAGUGGGGAAUAUUGCACAAUGGGGGAAACCCUGAUGCAGCGGCGCCGCGUGAGCGAUGAAGUAUUUCGGUAUGUAAAGCUCUAUCAGCAGGGAAGAAGAUGACGGUACCUGACUAAGAAGCCCCGGCUAACUACGUGCCAGCAGCCGCGGUAAUACGUAGGGGGCAAGCGUUAUCCGGAUUUACUGGGUGUAAAGGGAGCGUAGACGGCGAUGCAAGCCAGAUGUGAAAGCCCGGGGCUCAACCCCGGGACUGCAUUUGGAACUGUGUGGCUGGAGUGUCGGAGAGGCAGGCGGAAUUCCUAGUGUAGCGGUGAAAUGCGUAGAUAUUAGGAGGAACACCAGUGGCGAAGGCGGCCUGCUGGACGAUGACUGACGUUGAGGCUCGAAAGCGUGGGGAGCAAACAGGAUUAGAUACCCGCGUAC